rnacentral:rRNA from 1 species
UACAGAGGUCCCAAGCGUUGUUCGGAUUCACUGGGCGUAAAGGGUGCGUAGGUGGUGAGGUAAGUCUGAUGUGAAAGCUCAGAGCUCAACUCUGGAAUGGCAUUGGAUACUAUCUUGCUGGAGGAUUGGAGGGGGGACUGGAAUUCUCGGUGUAGCAGUGAAAUGCGUAGAUAUCGAGAGGAACACCAGUGGCGAAGGCGAGUCCCUGGACAAUACCUGACACUGAGGCACGAAAGCUAGGGGAGCAAACAGG